UGCUACUUUGAUGUUACUUGUGUUCUUUUUGUCCCUCUUCUUCAGCCCAUCCAUGUUAGUUCUCAGUAGGUUUGAAUAAGCCAUCCGGAACUUAUUCACUUCUUUGGAGCUCACCACAAUGCUAACCUUCUUUUUCCCAUCAGUAGUUCUUAACAGACACCUGUCUGAAGACUCAAAGCCCGCAACAGAACCUUUCACUAGAAUGGGUUUGGUUCAACCUCAGUUCUCAAGG
rnacentral:lncRNA from 10 species